UACGGGGGGAGCAAGCGUUGUUCGGAUUUACUGGGCGUAAAGGGCGCGUAGGCGGUCGUGACAAGUCACUUGUGAAAUCUCCGGGCUUAACUCGGAAAGGUCAAGUGAUACUGUCGGACUAGAGUACAGAAGGGGCAACUGGAAUUCUCGGUGUAGCGGUGAAAUGCGUAGAUAUCGAGAGGAACACCUGCGGCGAAGGCGGGUUGCUGGGCUGAUACUGACGCUGAGGCGCGAAGGCUAGGGGAGCGAACGGG
rnacentral:rRNA from 1 species